rnacentral:rRNA from 1 species
UGGGGAAUAUUGGACAAUGGGGGGAACCCUGAUCCAGCCAUGCCGCGUGUGUGAAGAAGGCCUUAUGGUUGUAAAGCACUUUAAGCGAGGAGGAGGGUACUGGUAUUAAUACUACCAGCUACUGGACGUUACUCGCAGAAUAAGCACCGGCUAACUCUGUGCCAGCAGCCGCGGUAAUACAGAGGGUGCGAGCGUUAAUCGGAUUUACUGGGCGUAAAGCGUGCGUAGGCGGCUAAUUGAGUCGGAUGUGAAAGCCCCGGGCUCAACCUGGGUACUGCAUCCAAAACUGGCGAGCUAGAGUAGGGCAGAGGGUGGUGGAAUUUCCUGUGUAGCGGUGAAAUGCGUAGAUAUAGGAAGGAACACCAGUGGCGAAGGCGACCACCUGGGCUCAUACUGACACUGAGGUGCGAAAGCGUGGGGAGCAAACAGG